ACGAGGCGUCCGGCACUGCCUGAGCUCCUGACGUGUCUCAGGGACAGACUCAAGUCACACGACACUUCGGUGAGAGUUUUACCGACGAAGAACCGGGCACUCGGUGUCCCAGCCCUCGGGAAUCUCGGGGUUCGGGGGUGGGGUGGGCGGACACACCUGUGCCCGCGCUUCCAGCUGAGUUACCCUCGGGGGCGCGACUGUGAAAUCGGAGAACCGGAUGCGGGUGCGGAGGAGGGCAAGACGGCUCGACACCUGCUUUCUUCUCUUCCUUCCGGACUCAGAAUUCUUAGGGAAAAUGUAUUGUAAGUUGAUCGAAAAGAUGCUACGGGGCGCCUGGCUGGCUCAGUCAGUAGAGCAUGCGACCCUUGAUCUCAGGGUUUUGAGUUUGAGCCCCAUGUUGGGUGUAGAGAUAACUUAAAAGUAAAAUCUUAAAAAAAAAAAAGAUGCCACAAUAACUUCACUUCUCGAAUCCAUAUGCCUUGCAGCGUGACUUUGCCACUCGUCCCAUCAAAGGUGAGUGUGUCCUCACCCAUGGCACAGAAACACCCAUGGAGUUUAAAAAUUUCGUCUGAGAGCCUCUGUUAUUGAAAAGGAGAUCAAGUCUUUCAUGUUUGUGUAAUUAUUGCCAUGUUUGUUUGUACAUACUCCUGACAUCUUA
ensembl:lncRNA